AAUCCAGAGGGCUGUAACAAGAGGGAUUGGGUGAGUGUCCUGAGCAAAAUGGCUGAAAGAUGUAGAGUUGCUUAGAGAAGAUGAAGCAUGAAGAAAUUGACGUUAAGAGUUUAGCAACAAAAACUCUUGAGAAAGUUUUCCCCAAUGAUGCACGUUCCAAGAAAUUGUUAUAGACUUGCUGGUGGCGCCUGUGCAGAUGAAGUAUUGAAGGAUUUGUAAGGGUCUUACACUGUAUUCCGGGAGUGAUAAAAGUGGGAUUGAGUGAUCUUCUUUUCUGGGAGUGGAAGAAAAGCAGCAGGAGAAAAAAACAAACGUGCAAAAGGGCUCAUUUCAGCUUCUCUUGGACCUGGCCACGCUCAGAGAUCCCUUUCCAGAUUAUUUCAUUGUUAGGCUGGUAACUUGUCCCUGUAUUUCACACUAAGCAAAACCCUUCCUUUGUACUGUCUGGAAUUUUUGCUUGUCCCCUUAGCUCACAACUUUUUCUUAAGCCCAGCCUUAGGAGUCUCAUAGCUUCCAGAACCAGAGGGGAGCGGACAGGUUUAAAUAAACAUCUAGGCUCGCCAUUUACCACCAAGGAUCAUAACGUUUGUCAGCCCUAUGGAAUGCAUACUGUAAAGCAUCAACUGACAAACUGAUAUUUUUGUUGAGGUUUCAAUCAGAAAUGAGCAGAGAAACUCAGAAACCAGCUGUGUGUUCUGCUGCACAGAGAGGCAGUAACAUGCAAUGCUACUCAAGAAAAGCAAGCCCUUAUCAGAUAGAUAGAGAUCAUUUACCCUGACACACGUGGUCAAUAAUUAGUAUUCCAGUUCCUGGGGGAAGCAACGUGGCUCAACAGGUGAAACAGCAGCUCAGGACUUUCCAUUCCGUGACUGUGUUGGUCUGCAGCGCUUCUCUGACUUUGGGGAGUCACAUCAUUUCACUUCUCUACUUCAUUUCGCUCUCUGAAAACAGGAUGAACACUACACUGAGAUUCGUUUGGCUACAGAGAUACAAACUGUGUUUGAAAGAAUUGCUGUCGUAUAGCCGUAGUUAACUAGAAAUGAUUCGUAAGUAUCUUCAGGUUAUUUCUAUUUGCCCUUUACUGAGAACAUCAAAUGGUGGGACAACAUCUGGUUCCUACCUUGAGCCCCUAAAAAUGGUCAACUUUUCCUGAGAUAAUGUAGAUAUUAAAGAUGAGAUAUCAGACUGCAGAAUAGCGCUUUAGUAAGGAGGGUGGAAUUUCUUUUUUAGUAUGGAGAGUAUUGGUUUAUAUCUGAUCUUAAAAAGCCUGUGCUUGAAGUUAUCCAAAAAAGGAGUGAUUCACAAAAGAUUUGUGCUUGUAACUGCACUUCUGGAUUUUAGCGUUUGUUAGGUAAUGUGGAUUUUUGUACCAGAAGGCUUUUGUGAAGAGUCACUAAGGUGUCUGAAGGCCUCCCCGGUAACUGCAGUCCACACGAAGGUGGCUUCUGCCUUGUCUGUAACACUCCUCCAAGUGAUCGAGGGGGAUUUUGGAGCUGGUGUACACUCAGUAGACUUGUCAUGAAAUGCCUUGGAGGAAUUCAGGCAGCAGUGUGUGUGUGUGCAGGAUGCAUUUUGGUUUGCUGUCUAAACCCAGCAGAGGAAAGAGAGAGCAAGGUUUCAGGAGCAAGAGGAGAAAAACGUGUAAAGGUUAAGCUCAGUGCUAAAAUCACUGACAUUUGUACAACAGAGAUGUAAAAGCAAAGUGAAAGCAUCAGACAUUAACUAGGGUUAUCGUCCUGGAAACUAUCGUUGUAAUAUUCGUAAGGGAAAAAAAAGCAUUCCUUCUCUACCCACCCAGAGAAACGACCAACCAGCUCCCUCAGGAAUGCUGUGGAUCAACAUAAGUCAUUUUUUCUUUGAAAUGCUAUAAAUUGAAAAACACGCCUUUAUAUAGAUAUGAUCAAUAUGAAAUCAUACUUGUCAUAUAUGAUUAAACUUGUUCUUUUGUAAUUAGAACCUGAACUAAUUUAGAAUUUAUUGCCAUAAAACCAUAAACAGUGUAGAUUAGAAUCAUAAAUGUGGUGAAAUAACAGUA